GACAGAGGAUGCAAGCGUUAUCCGGAAUGAUUGGGCGUAAAGCGUCUGUAGGUGGCUUUUCAAGUCCGCCGUCAAAUCCCAGGGCUCAACCCUGGACAGGCGGUGGAAACUACCAAGCUGGAGUACGGUAGGGGCAGAGGGAAUUUCCGGUGGAGCGGUGAAAUGCGUAGAGAUCUGGAGGAACACCGAUGGCGAAGGCAGCCUUCUGGGCCAACACUGACGCUCAUGCACGAAAGCGUGGGGAGCAAACAGG
rnacentral:rRNA from 1 species